GUGCUCGCUUCAGCAGCACAUAUACUAAAAUUGAAAAAAAACAGAGAAGAUUAGCAUGGCCCCUGCGCAAAGAUGACACGCAAAUUCGUGAAGCGUUCCAUAAAAAA
ensembl:snRNA U6 U6 spliceosomal RNA